rnacentral:rRNA from 3 species
AUCCACACGACUCUCGGCAACGGAUAUCUCGGCUCUCGCAUCGAUGAAGAACGUAGCGAAAUGCGAUACCUGGUGUGAAUUGCAGAAUCCCGCGAACCAUCGAGUCUUUGAACGCAAGUUGCGCCCGAGGCCUUUUGGCUAAGGGCACGCCUGCCUGGGCGUC